GGGCCCGCACAAGCGGUGGAGCAUGUGGUUUAAUUCGAUGAUACGCGAGGAACCUUACCAGGGCUUAAAUGUAGGUUGCAUGAUCUAGAGAUAGAUCUUUCUUCGGACUACCUACAAGGUGCUGCAUGGUUGUCGUCAGCUCGUGCCGUGAGGUGUCAGGUUAAGUCCUAUAACGAGCGCAACCCCCUGUCGUUAGUUACCAGCAAGUAAUGUUGGGUACUCUAGCGAGACUGCCGGUGCAAACCGCGAGGAAGGUGGGGAUGACGUCAAAUCAUCACGGCCCUUACGUCCUGGGCCACACACGUGCUACAAUGGCCGGUACAGAGAGCAGCCACUACGCGAGUAGGAGCGAAUCUUCAAAACCGGUCUCAGUUCGGAUCGCAGUCUGCAACUCGACUGCGUGAAGCUGGAAUCGCUAGUAAUCG
rnacentral:rRNA from 1 species